AAUGACGCCCCGCCUCCAACAACAAGUUUUGAGUCCGACUCAAUACUACAUGGACUGUUCAACAAUUGUACAUGUCCAGUUAAAUUAUAAUAAGAAAGAGUAAGACCCCAAUAAAUAAAUAUGUUAGCCAAAUAAUAAUAAUUUGAAUAAUAAUAACGUUUUCUAUAUGUGUGUCGUUUUUCUAUUCUAAUUAUGUUAGGGACUAUUCCUCAGCGGAAGGUUACCCGGCGAAAUAGCAGAAGUUCAAGGAAUAACAGCAAACCUUAAGAUGCCUAUGAAAGGCAAAAAAAGAGCACCAACCAAGUGACAGUAGCUGAUCUUUGGUGCAAGGUCAGGAGCCACUUGUUCAGAGCCUUGGAUUGCUGGGAGAUGCCUAUGAUUCCUCCUGGUGACUUGGUAUCCUGUUUUACUGACUGUUCAAGGGCCAUGUCAAUGCAAACACCAGAGAAAGGCUUUCCUGAUCUGGAUAUGGCAUGAUGGCCUUCCUGAAACCGAACGUAUACCUCAUCUGUAGUCUCAGGAAGGAAUUGCAUAUCACUAACGUAGAAAGUGAGCUACCGGGAAAUAGUUUUGCAGAUGGAAAACAAAGACAUAGGGAAGCAAGGCAGCAGCUGUAUUCAGAUGGAGGCUCCAGUUGCCAUCUCUCUCUGCUCGGAUGAAAUCCAGGAGAAUGUGCACCAUAGCUAUGUAUUCCAAGAACUGAAUAGGCUGUGACUUACUGCUGCAGAAUGACUGCCAGGACAACCACUCCAUUACCUGCAUGACCAACUUGUGAGCAUGGAUGCGUCAGCUAUAUAUGUUUCCUUCUAGAAGACUGGCAGCAGUGUUUUCUGCAUAAACACCCCGAUUCAACCAGAAGAUCUUCCAACCAAGAAAAAUCUAACAUCUUGCCUAUGACACAUAAGAAAUUGAGGGUAUGUGCAUGUCUCCUAGACCCUUCUCCAGAUAAUUUACUUUGCCUUGCAGUAGAUUGUCUCAUCCAGUGUCUUCUGACUUAGAAGCUUCAUCAUCUUUUUCACAGUGCACACAAUUGUAUAAACCAUACUGU